rnacentral:lncRNA from 13 species
AAGGCACCAGACCCAACUUGGAAGCAUGCCCUACCAUCAAGUAAUCAAUUAUAAUCAUUGGGAUGGGACUAAAUAAGAACUCCAAAAGGACAUAGUUUUCAAAGGUUAUCUUCAUUGAGGAACCACACAACUGCCUCAGAAAAGCAAAAACAGAUGUCCAUUUCAAGUUCUGCUUAAGAGCAUGUCAGGAGUCACAGUC